AAGCCAAGCGACACCAAAGGUGGCCAGCAGCCCAUGUGAAGCUGGAGGAGAGGCCUCGAAUAAAUGCUCCCUUACAGCGUUCAGGGGGAACUGACCCUGUCCACACCUUGACCUUGAACUUCUGGGCUCCAGAACUGUGAGACAGCAUGUUCUGUUGUUGAAGGAGCAGCGUGGCUAGAGGAAUUCCUGCAGCUUAGAUUUCGCUGGCACUGUUACCACUCCCAGAGAGGAGCGGCUGGAGUUCACGGCUGGUUCCUGACAAACUUCCUAAUUAAUCUGCUAAAGAUCAGAGGAGGACUAAUAGGAGCUGAAGACUGUGUGCGAGACCACCCCUCCGCCCUCUCCCUUUGUGUGUGCACGUGUGUGUGUGUGUGUGUGUGAGCGCGUGCGCGCAUGUGGUGCUGAGCUUGGCGGGAGAGAGAUGGCCUCACCAGCGACAAAGCAUUCCUGCUGCUGUUGCUGCCACCUACCUUCCCUGCUUUGGGAGGAUACAUUUUCUCCUCUUGCUUAGAAGUUUCAGGGAGUCACCCAAGCCUUCUUCUCCCAGAUACAACGGUGGAAUAAAAUAUCUUCCAGCCAACAUAUUUUUUGGAGACGGAAUCUCACUCUGUCACCUGGUUGAAGUGCAGCAGCGCGAUCAUGGCUCACUGCAACCUCUGCCUCCCGGUUUCAAGUGAUUCUCCUGCCUCCGCCUCCCGAGUAGCUGGGAUUACAGGCAUGUGCCACCCACCACGCCUGGGUAAUUUUUGUAUUUUUACUAGAGACAGGGUUUCACUAUGUGGGCUGGGCUGGUCUCAAACUCCUGACCUCUGGUGAUCUGCCCACUUCGGCCUCUCAAAGUGCUGGGAUUACAGGCAUGAGCCCCCGCACCCGGUUGCAACCAACUUUUUUGUGGAAUAUAGGAUCUUGAUGUUUGGAUGCCUGAAGGCAGAAGCUGUUGCACAUGGAAUGGAUUAAAGUUUUCCCCUCUGCAACCAAAAAUCCUUGGGGUCCCAGGAGCAAAAGAUGCUCCAUGGCACAGGACAAUUCAAGAAGGCCCGAGGUGAUAUUGAAGACUGCAGAGACAUCCAGCUCAGUUGUGUCUCCGGAGGUGUCCAGACUUUGCAGACAGACGUUGCACAUAAAGAGCUGAAAAACUGAGGAAGCUGAGCUGGAGAAGGAAGUCACUUCUACUCAGACUUGACCUGCGUCUGAUGCUAUGGGGCCUCUUAGGGUUACCUCAUGCUUCAUGCACCCCUUUCUCUGUUCUUCAGCAGAAGGCAGGGUGUAGGGAAGCGGGACUGUGCCUCCUUUCUCCCUGCCAGGCCUGACUCUCCAGGCCAAGAGACACCAUUAAGGAGUAUAAUUUGUUGAUCCAGGCUCUCCUUGCGUUUCAGUGCAGAGUGGCAUCGUUUUCUUUAUGACCUCGUAAAGUCACAGCCGAGAGGCCGAUUUGGAAAACAAACUGCCUCAGGUUGACAGAUAAUUAGAUACAGGGGACAUAUUAUAUGCCUUUGCAUAUAAAUGUGCUCCGAGGCGUGUUGGUUCAUCUGAAGUUGAGGUUAAAGGCGCGCCAGGUAUUCCUGACACAUCAGGAUAUAUAUUUUCAUACAGUCUCAGGUGCUGUGUUGGUUUUAUAGGCCUUUCAUCCUGGUGCUGACGGAUGGGGUGUGAUUGUGACCCAACUUAGAAGAAAGGGACUUCCCUUGCCCAGGGGCCUCCUGGCGUUUUUGUUUUGUGUUCUCCCUCUCCACCCCCACUUUCUCUUCUUCCUUGGGAAGGGAACUGUUCUUUGGACCUAGGAUUCUGCCGUGAGUGACUAAUGGCCUGAGUAGGAGGGACCGGGACUCAUUUUUCUUUUCUGGACUCUAAUAGGCCCAAUUAAUUCAGCUACAACAUGGGCCCUUACAAGCCUGGGACAAGCCUGGGUGGAAUUCUAUAUUGAGGGUAAGAAAAGGGAUGGAAGUAGAUGUUUUCCAGAAGGUUCUGUGGACUCUGGGGGUGACCUGUGGACAGCUGCUGCUGCCCACUACCUGGCAGUUUGGCUAUGUGAUACAUGUCAGCCUUACAAGGAGAUCCCCCUUACCCUGGAAUCUACUUUGGGGGAGCAGAACUUGAGCCUCAGGCAAAUCAGAGACGAGGGGGAAACUUUGCUUUUUCCUCCAGUGGCAGGGAGCUCUGGGCUGGGGAAAUGUCUUUUUGAACACAAAGUUCCAGUUGCAUUCAUCCACAGGAAAAUGUAAAGAGCUUAAUUUAAUGCCCUCUGGGAGUCAUUUCGAUUUAAAAGUGGUAUUAUAGCUUGUGGCUAGAAGAAUGGGCUUAACGGUUAGUCACCUUCUGUUUGGGCAUGUCAUUUAAUCUCUUUGAGGCUGUUUCUUCAUCUUAAAAUAUGAGUGAGAAGGUAGUACCCACCUUACAAUGUGGACAAGAUUAAUUUAGGGAAAACACGUAGCACAGGGCUUCACCCAUGGUAAGUAUUUCAUAAACGGUAACUAUUUUUAACAAUGACAAUUCACAGAGUUAAUCCUAAUAAAAAAUGAUUACAGAAGAGGACGCCUCCACCCACAGGAAGGAGCCAGCACGGUGGGGAGCUGUUUCACCAGGGGAGUGUUCUCAGCAGCUGCCACACGUGGAGUUGUGGAGGGAAAGGUAAGAAACCCCAUAGCCCGACCCUCAGCCCUGUUGAAGGAGAUUAUAUAAAUAGAGUCGCUGUCACUUUGAUGAAUUAAAUCCUCCGUUAAUUAGGACGCAUCCAUUUAAGGGUUGUCCAGCCAGAUAGUCCUUUUCCCUUCCCAGCAAGUCAUAGCUCAGGGAGGAGGCAUGAGAGGGAUCGUUUUCUGUUUCUGGCUUGAUUGCUGGUUUCUUUCUUACUAGGCUUCAUUAAUUAUCCUGGAAUGUGGUCACCCAGUUUUCUUCAACAUGGGCCAUUCUCCUUUUAGCAGGAUCUUGGCAGUGGACUGCCACGGGAGCUCUGGGGAAAAAGGACCAGUUGGACUCCAGUACCUCCUGAGAGACCACCACCCUCCAUGCCUCCAGCUCAUGCCCAGCUCUGAGUCAGACGGACUCUUCCUGUUGUACUGCGAGGUUCUGCAAACCUUGAAGGGCAAACACAGUGAGGGUCUCUGACUUGCUGUGUGGACAGCCCACUCUCUGACAGCCCAGAUCAUCUGAAGCUAUCCCUGGGCUGGGAGCUGGAAGCCAUUCUUGUGAACCACUCCUUAUACCUUGAGCGAAGCCUCUUUGGGUCCCAGAAGUCUGAAGCUCCAGCUGCCUGGCAAGACUGAGUCUAGAUGAUUUCUUGGGUACCAGUAGUUUGGCAUUUAAAAAUACUGGAUUAACUGCAGUGUAAACUUAGAUUGCAUUUCAGAUUGUAAACAAUAACCCCCGUGCUUCAUGUGAUGUUAAAUCAGAAAUGAGCUAUUAGCCAAGCUAGUCCUCUUAUGAAUGAGCCCCUAACCCUGAUCCAGGGAUCGUUGAAUGAAAAUCAUCAAAAUGAUUUAUCUUCACUUUACCUAUUGUCUCACAAGAAUCUCAUCACUCAGGGAAAAGGAGGGUGUUCUUCAGGGAACGGAGGGCAUGAGGAAGGGGGAUUUCCUUAUAUCUCAACUUUCAGAGGGAGCUGAGUUGUAAACAGAUGGAACAAGGUGUGUACGAGAAGCCUCUUAGAUUUAGUCUUUCAUAUCAAGGCUCUUGCUGAAAAUCCUGGCACAGCUGUGAAAUGAGGGGAGCUCUGACACACAGAGACACGCUCCUUGCCUCACCAACCUUCCCAUACACAGUCAUGCGCACAGAGAGCAGGUACCAAUACUGAAAAUGCCCUUCCGGAGUUUCCUCAGCUUAAACCCUUGACAGCAUUAAGUGAGGAAGGAGUUUCCUUGACCUGGGGAAGAAGAACCAACUCAUAAACAUGGAACUGUGCCCACUGCCUUUUCCUUUGCUCUGUGGAUUGGCUGUGGUUCUGCCCUGGCACUCGGAUGUCAAGUUGCUCUGGCUGUUUGGGAGGAAGCCCAGCCUGGGUCAGGUGGUCAUAAGCCAGAGGCCCUGUCCUGUCCCCAGGGUUGGCCUCCCUCUGGGGUCCAGCAUGGCCCCAGUGCUGAGGCUCCCACUGCUGGGGAAUGUGCCCUCUCCUCUCUUUGUUUCCAUACCAAGGGGAUCUGCAGGGUAGAGGGCAAAUUAUUCUUAGCAGAUUGGGGCUAUGGGUAAACCAGAAGGGAUGAGGGAGAGAGGAGAGAGGAGAGGAAAGGGAAGGAGAGGGGAGGGCAGGGGAUAGGUAGAGGAGAGAGACAGCAAGAAAAAAUAGAAAAAAAAAAAAAGGAAAUAAAGGUUGCAUAUACAAAGGGAGAUUAACAAGGAGUAGAAGAAGGGAGGCAGAAGAGGGAGAAACAGAGAAGAGGAACAAAGAAGACAUUUCCAAAAAAGACGUGAGCACACCAGGCAGGAGGGAGAAAAGGAACAAGGAGAAAGGAAGGAAGUGAGACAAGCUGGGGAGAGAAGAGGCAAAGGCAGCCAGGAGCAGGCAUAGGGGAGAGAGGAGUGGGAAGCCCCAGGGGGUACAAGGAAAAAAAUGAGGGAAGCCAGUGGGAGGAAGGUGAGGAAGAGGAGAGGGAACAGGCACUGGGUGGGGAAGAGGCGAGCAGGAGAAAGCCUGUGCUGUGUGGAUUAUUGUGUGUUUGUCAUCUGGAAUGGUAUAAGCUGUAGGUACAGCAGCUCCCGCCCAUGAUUUAUGGUCCCUGUCAGGCAGGGACCGCGCUUUGUCUGCUGUAGCGUGGACGAUGAAUGCUCCGCUGUCAUCCCAGCCUGGCCGGCCUUUCUCUCUCUCUGCUCCCAACGCUGGCUCCCCAUUUCACGCCAGUGAACAUAAGCAAUCUUUUGUAAACCUGACAGUCACACUUGCUUCUUUGGAAACAUAAAGCAGAAAUGUAUGACUCGGCUUUCAUUACCCAAUUUCCUACGCUAUAUAAAAACACUCAGGAAAGACAUGUAAGUGGUCACGAAACCUGGGAAAUUGGAAGUGUCCUGGAGGAAAAAAAAAGGAAGAGUGGGGAGAAGGGGGCUGUAGGGUGGGAGGGAGCCGGUGAGGAGAGGAGACGAUGUGUCUAACUCCACCACAUCCUUCCCAGAAAACGCCGGCUGAUAAACGGGCCAUGCAGACACAUAAUUAUAUUACAUAUCUGAAUAAUAGACAUUUCCUGCCUGAAGUGUUGCUUUUUUUCCUCCUUCUCCUUUUAAC
rnacentral:lncRNA from 1 species